rnacentral:rRNA from 1 species
AGAGUUUGAUCCUGGCUCAGAACGAACGCUGGCGGCGUGCUUAAGACAUGCAAGUCGUACGGUAAGGCCCCUUCGGGGGUACACGAGUGGCGCACGGGUGAGUAACGCGUGGGUAAUCUACCGUCGGGACUGGGACAACUUCGGGAAACUGGAGCUAAUACCGGAUGAGACCACGGGGUCUGCGGACCCUGCGGAAAAACGAUGGCCUCUGCUUGCAAGCUAUCGCCUGACGAUGAGCCCGCGUCCCAUUAGCUAGUUGGUGAGGUAACGGCUCACCAAGGCGGAGAUGGGUAGCUGGUCUGAGAGGAUGAUCAGCCACACUGGGACUGAGACACGGCCCAGACUCCUACGGGAGGCAGCAGUCGGGAAUUUUGGGCAAUGGGCGAAAGCCUGACCCAGCAACGCCGCGUGAGGGAUGAAGGCCUUCGGGUCGUAAACCUCUGUCGGGAGGGAAGAACGUCUUCGGGGUGAACAAUCCCGGAGGCUGACGGUACCUCCAAAGGAAGCGCCGGCUAACUCCGUGCCAGCAGCCGCGGUAAUACGGAGGGCGCGAGCGUUGUUCGGAAUCAUUGGGCGUAAAGCGCGUGUAGGCGGCUUGGUAAGUCGAGUGUGAAAGCCCGGGGCUCAACCCCGGAAGGUCGCUCGAAACUGCCUCGCUAGAGUCCCGGAGAGGAAGGCGGAAUUCCCGGUGUAGAGGUGAAAUUCGUAGAUAUCGGGAGGAACACCAGCGGCGAAGGCGGCCUUCUGGACGGUGACUGACGCUGAGACGCGAAAGCGUGGGGAGCAAACAGGAUUAGAUACCCUAGUAGUCC